CCUGAGGAGAAGAUCCGACGAAGGGCUAAUAACCUCUGCUUAUACUGUGCUUCAGACAAACACACUGUCAGGGACUGUCCUUCCCUCCUGAAACAAAACAAGGUGGGAGUCACAUCGAAUCAACGCUCCCGCGAUUAUUGACUCAGGAGCUACAGCCUCCUACAUAGAUACUGUAUUCACUAAAUUCAAUAAAAUUCCACUUGUGCAAAAAA